ACCGUGUCUGGGCCUGGUAACUCCACCACCGUUGGCGUCGCUACCGCCAACGGGGGCCGAGUUCCUGCUCCUAGAUGCGAU
rnacentral:pre_miRNA from 1 species